GCUCUCUUGACUCCCCUCAGCCCAGAGCUGGAACUGCAAACGAAUGCGUGACCUGAUUCAAGGUGGUCCGGAGCUGCUGACCCUGCCCCCGCCUGUCCCCCACCCUUCCUGGACCCUCAGCCCAUCGGCCGGUGAUGACCUCAUGGGGAGGAACCCCCAGUGGCCCAGCCUCUGUCCGGUCUUACCCCCAGCCCUGGGGAGCGUCUGCUGACAGUCCUGCUGAUAGAAGAGGGGGAAGGGGAGGCCUCACCCCCCCCUUAGGGGGACAUCCCUGAUAAGAGGAAAUUCCACGCUGUGACAAAUGGCCAGUUUCCACCCAUCCACGGGGAGGAUCUUUUCUUUCUCUUUUUAACUUGGCAAAUGUUUGCCAAGAACUAACGGAAUCUCUGUGGUCAGCCGGCCUCUUCGGACCUGGUGGGCGGGCUGGCCGGGGCUGGAUUCUGCAUUUGCUUUGGGGUGGGGGCCCAUCAUGCUGGAAGGUUCUCUGGGGUGGGAAGAGGCUUGGGGAGACACAGUCCCUGAUCCUGUGAGGCCAAUGGGUGGUGGAAAACGGAAUAAUAAAUAAGUCCUUGACACAGGAAGUCGGAGGGCUCAUCCCUGGCCCUGGCUGCCUGUCAUUUCUGCAGCCUGCUUUUUAGGAAGCGAAUAUGGGCAGGCGGCUUGCAGGUCGGAGCCUCCUCUGAGCGAAGUCUCAGUGGGGCCACCGAGCCUGGCCGAGAGUCCCUGGAAGGAGGAGGCCGGGCUGCAAAUAAAGAACAGAAGAGGGCCUCUUCCAGAAGGGGGUGGGGUGGCCUGGUGAGAGGUGGCCGCUGUCCAAAUCUGUGUCGGGCCAAUGGAAACGAAGAGCUUCUUGAGAUUCCUUCCUGCACAAUAGAGGAGAAGCUUGCUUUCACGUGUUUGGCGGGAGCAAGGCCGAGGAGCCUUGGUGGGCGGUAGGAGCGGGGAUCCCCCCUCCCCGCCUUUGGGGCGCCUCUGGCCCCUGAAGGAAUGAAUGAAUGAAUCAGAUGGGGAUGGCACUCUCUCUACUGUGUCCCCUGCCAGGUCCGCAAAGGGCGCGGGGUCCUGGGAGAUCAUGAUUCAGGCACACACCCACCGGGUCUCCUCCGGAGAACUGCAACUUCUCUUCCGCCACCUCCUCGGAAAAGGGAAGGAGCCCGGAGCGGGAGAAAAAUGCAGCCCUUUGCAUUUGCAAAUCCCUCCUUUCUCCGGAGAGGCACGAGCCUUUGUGCUCCUUUUCUAAGCCUAGUUUCAGGCCAGAGGGCAAAGUCUCAGAUUUCUGGCAUCCUGGUUCCUGACCAGACUCUGACGAGAUGCUUCCUGCCUCGUACAAAGUGUGAAGUGUAAUUUGAUUUGUAAUUACUUAUCGAAUUAAAGGAGGCGUGUG